GCUGGCGGCAGGCCUAACACAUGCAAGUCGAGCGCACCUUUCGGGGUGAGCGGCGGACGGGUUAGUAACGCGUGGGAAUAUACCCUUUGGUACGGAAUAGCCUCUGGAAACGGAGAGUAAUACCGUAUGAGCCCUUCGGGGGAAAGAUUUAUCGCCAAAGGAUUAGCCCGCGUUAGAUUAGGUAGUUGGUGGGGUAAUGGCCUACCAAGCCUACGAUCUAUAGCUGGUUUUAGAGGAUGAUCAGCAACACUGGGACUGAGACACGGCCCAGACUCCUACGGGAGGCAGCAGUGGGGAAUCUUGGACAAUGGGCGCAAGCCUGAUCCAGCCAUGCCGCGUGAGUGAUGAAGGCCUUAGGGUCGUAAAGCUCUUUCGCCUGUGAAGAUAAUGACGGUAGCAGGUAAAGAAACCCCGGCUAACUCCGUGCCAGCAGCCGCGGUAAUAC
rnacentral:rRNA from 1 species